UGGGAAUGGUGAUUGUGUCUACCUCAAG
rnacentral:piRNA from 1 species